rnacentral:rRNA from 1 species
GAUGAACGCUGGCGGCGUGCCUAACACAUGCAAGUCGAACGGAGUCCCGCCUUUAAGACCUUCGGGUCAAAGAGGGGAAGACUGAGUGGCGGACGGGUGAGUAACACGUGGGCAACCUGGCUCAUAGAGGGGGAUAACAGAGAGAAAUUUCUGCUAAUACCGCAUAAGCACACACUGCCGCAUGGCAGAGGGUGAAAAGAGAAUCGCUAUGAGAUGGACCCGCGUCUGAUUAGCCAGUUGGCAGGGUAAGAGCCUACCAAAGCGACGAUCAGUAGCCGAUGGGGGGGGAGGAACGGGCAAAUUGGGACUGGGACACGGCCCAAACCCCCGCGGGGGGGGGGAGGGGGGGAUAUUGCACAAGGGGGGGAACCCUGAGGCGGCGAGGCCGGGGGGGUGAAAAAGUAUUUGGGUAUGUAAAGCUCUAUCAGCAGGGAAGAAAAGGACGGAACCGGAAAAAAAACCCCCGGCAAACUACGG